AAUCUCUCUCUAUCACUUACACAAUCUUUCUCUGUCUCUCUUGGUUAUCUCCAUAUUAAGGUAAGAAGAUACGAUCUAAA
rnacentral:precursor_RNA from 1 species